GUGGGGAAUAUUGGACAAUGGGCGAAAGCCUGAUCCAGCCAUGCCGCGUGUGUGAAGAAGGUCUUCGGAUUGUAAAGCACUUUAAGUUGGGAGGAAGGGCAGUAAGUUAAUACCUUGCUGUUUUGACGUUACCGACAGAAUAAGCACCGGCUAACUUCGUGCCAGCAGCCGCGGUAAUACGAAGGGUGCAAGCGUUAAUCGGAAUUACUGGGCGUAAAGAGCGCGUAGGUGGUUUUGUAAGUUGGAGGUGAAAUCCCCGGGCUCAAACUGGGAACUGCCUCCAAAACUGCAUGACUAGAGUACGGUAGAGGGUAGUGGAAUUUCCUGUGUAGCGGUGAAAUGCGUAGAUAUAGGAAGGAACACCAGUGGCGAAGGCGACUACCUGGACUGAUACUGACACUGAGGUGCGAAAGCGUGGGGAGCAAACAGGAUUAGAUACCCGAGUAGUCC
rnacentral:rRNA from 1 species